rnacentral:lncRNA from 1 species
AACCCUUGUCUGCAUGAUUAAUGCUGUUUUGAGAUGUGGGGAAAGAUUUGGGGUUUUGUAGAGAGAUACAUCCUUGCUUCAGUUUGACUGAGGCAAUGGAUAGGAAAAACAGACACUUUGUUGUGACAUCACAAAUGCAAUAGAGGCGAUUUGAAAUUAUACUCUUAGAGAGCCAAGAUAGCAGAGUGCUAGGAAGCAGUAAAUUAAGUUCCCCUUCACCAACUCCUCCAAACAGAUCUAAAACAUGUUCCUGAUGGGAAAUGAAUCCUGAUGGGAAAAUCCAGAAGAAGCCACAGUGAAUUGUGAAUCCAGCCCUGCUCAGGAUAGGGAGACAAACAGGAAAACCUUCUGACUCUUUCCCUGGAGAGGUGAUUCUGUUGACUUCCUGUGAUCAGGCCUGGGCACCAGUUUGAUCCUGGAUCUGGAGCAUAGAGGAGCUCCCUCAGACAGCUUCCUUGAAAUGGUCACAUGGACAAGUAUGGACAUUCAACAAAAUAAAAGAAUUCCAAGAUUUCAUAACGAAAAGACUAGACCUGAACAGAAAUUUUGAUGACCAAGCACAGAACUCAAGAAAAUCAUCAAAAGUACCAGAUUGUUUUGAUGAUGGCUGCUUUGGAAUACAGUUUGAGAUGUGUUACUAUUCUGCCAACUUUCUUCAUACAAAGCAAACUUCCUAGGGACUCAAUGAAACAUGCUCUUCACAGCCAAAGGCAAUAACAACUAGAAGUAUUGGGGAAAAGAAGACUCCCUCCUCUUUGAAUUCUGUUUUGCAGUAUUCAUAACAACUAACCAAAUUUAGAAUAAAAAGAGAAAGUUCAAUAGCUGCUUAAAGUGA